GGAGGGUCUGUGGCUCAGUGGCAGAGCAUCCGCUUGUCAUGCAGAAGAUCACAGGUUCAAUUUCUGACGCUUCCA
rnacentral:tRNA from 1 species